GCCACCCGUCUCCUAUCCCCUUCCGCGCGAGGCCUCUAUAAGACAAAUCUGCCACUCCACUCCGCACUUGCACUCGCGCUCGCGCUCGCGUCGCUGCUCUAGUUCUCUCCCGCCGAUCGACGCCACCCCCACGUCCGGACCCGCCGUUCCUCCGAGGAAAUGGCUGCGCUUCAACCCUCAUUUUCAUCGACAAUGGCUCUGAGGAGUAGCGGCAGCAGUCUGAAGUUCCCCAAAACUGCACUUCUACCUGGUUUUGGUGGCAUUUCACGUCAAGACAUGCAAGACAGGAAUGCUAGCCUCGCUUGUUUAAUCCCCAAGGUUGCUUCGGUAACUGACCAGUCAAUAGCAGAACCAUCAAAACCCAGGAAAAAUAAGCACACUGUCGACCCUACAGCACCAGAAUUUCUGCCACUCCCAUCAUUUGAAGAAUGCUUUCCAAGAAGUACAAAAGAAUCAAGUGAAAUCGUUCACGAGGAAUCUGGUCAUGUCCUCAAGGUCCCAUUCCGGAGAGUCCAUUUGACUGGAGAUCAGAAGCACUUUGACACAUAUGACACCAGUGGUCCUCAAAAUAUAAGUCCAAGGACUGGACUCCCAAAGAUAAGGAAGGAAUGGAUUGAUAGGAGGGAAAAGCUGGGUAGUCCUCGUUACACGCAAAUGUAUUAUGCUAAACAGGGAAUCAUAACAGAGGAGAUGAUAUACUGUGCCAAGCGUGAGAACCUUAGUCCUGAAUUUGUUCGGACAGAAGUUGCCCGUGGACGAGCCAUAAUUCCUUCAAACAAGAGGCACCUGGAAUUGGAACCCACGAUUAUUGGAAGAAACUUCCUUGUAAAGGUGAAUGCAAAUAUUGGGAAUUCAGCUGUUGUGAGCUCCAUCGAGGAGGAAGUUCACAAGCUCCAGUGGGCCACAAUGUGGGGAGCUGAUACUGUCAUGGAUCUUUCAACAGGGCAGCAUAUCCAUGAGACCCGGGAAUGGAUUAUUCGCAACUCUCCGGUUCCUAUUGGGACUGUUCCUAUUUACCAAGCACUUGAGAAAGUAAAUGGUAUUGCAGAAAAUCUGAGCUGGGAAAUCUUUAGGGAUACCUUGAUUGAACAAGCUGAGCAGGGUGUUGAUUACUUCACAAUCCAUGCUGGUGUCCUGCUCCGUUACAUUCCUCUUACAGCAAAGAGAAUGACUGGCAUAGUUUCGCGUGGCGGCUCAAUUCAUGCAAAAUGGUGCUUAACUUAUCACAAGGAGAACUUUGCUUAUGAACACUGGGAUGACAUUCUUGACAUAUGCAAUCAAUAUGAUGUGGCAUUAUCAAUUGGUGAUGGUUUGAGGCCUGGUUCUAUUUAUGACGCAAAUGAUAGUGCUCAGUUCGCAGAGCUGUUGACUCAAGGGGAACUUACACGUCGAGCAUGGGCGAAAGAUGUGCAGGUGAUGAAUGAAGGCCCAGGGCACAUCCCAAUGCAUAAAAUUCCUGAAAACAUGGAGAAACAGCUGGAGUGGUGUAAUGAAGCACCUUUCUAUACGUUGGGUCCACUGACAACUGAUAUUGCACCUGGUUAUGAUCACAUCACCUCAGCCAUUGGUGCUGCCAACAUUGGAGCUCUUGGCACUGCACUUCUUUGUUAUGUAACACCAAAGGAGCACCUUGGGUUGCCUAAUCGUGAUGAUGUUAAGACAGGUGUGAUAUCCUACAAAAUUGCUGCUCAUGCUGCUGAUUUGGCAAAGGGUCAUCCCUAUGCGCAAGCUUGGGAUGAUGCCCUUAGCAAGGCAAGGUUUGAGUUUAGAUGGCUGGAUCAAUUUGCUCUAUCGCUGGACCCAGUAACUGCCAUGUCUUUCCAUGAUGAAACAUUGCCAUCCGAGGGUGCCAAAGUUGCGCAUUUCUGCUCAAUGUGUGGGCCCAAGUUUUGUUCGAUGAAAAUCACAGAGGAUAUUAGAAAGUAUGCGGAUGAACAUGGUUACGGAACAGUAGAGGAAGCUGUGAAGGAAGGAAUGAAUGCUAUGAGUGCUGAAUUUUUGGCUGCAAGGAAGACAGUUAGCGGGGAACAGCAUGGUGAAGCUGGAGGGGAGAUCUACGUACCAGAAAGCUAUGCAGCUCACAAAUGAGAUCUCCUCAGAGCCACCCAACGAAGCAGAUUUGCUGGUUAGGGCCUUCGGCAGCAGCAAUUCUACCAUCUUAUGUUAGGAGAUGGGGUGCCUGUAUUCUCAACAGUGUAAAGGCCUCAUGGCCUUGACUGUUGUGAGAUGGGCUGAGAAAGUCCCUUUGAACCUGAACAGGAUAAUGCCUGCGAAGGGAGCGUGCAAUUCCGUUUUCAUGUUUUUCAGGAACCUGACAGCCUUCUGGUGGAAAUUGAGGUACCAACUGUCCGUGAACGUUCACGGCUCCGCAGAUGGGUCUGCCUGUUUCUUACAACUGAGGUAACACGGUACUCCUUGCAUGAUUUCAUUAACCAGCUGUGUUACCAUUUCCACAGAGAGUGGGGUAUGCUUCCCAAUAACUCUCAAGCAAUCAAUACACCCAAGAAAUUUUGUGAAGAAUUUGCUAUUCCUAUAUAAUAUAUUUCUAUAACUGUCUAUCUACAUUUAUUUACACUAGACGGGUAAAGCAAGAUAUUUAGAACUGCUACAGAUUGAGGUGGGGGGUGGUUAGCUGCAUGAUGUCUCUCAGUUUGAGGGUUGAAGUACCAAUCAGAUUGCAUUUAACUUGAUCAUGCCAUGAUAUGGUAUUCAUCUUUUGAGAUACAACUAAUAUAGUUCUUUCUGUACAGAAACUUUUGCCCUUCUCGUCAGGAUGGUCAGAUAGUGUAGUUCAAUAUUGCUCAAAAUCCUUUUUAACAAAGAAUAUUGUAAAUCUUUCACAUAAACAGUUUUCAAAUUCAGAAUUAUGCACGAUUGUUUACAAAUGUAUGUUUUCUGAUAGCAGAGGCAGGAUCUUAAAACAUCAUAAAUUCAAAAUAGAAAUAGAUCGCAAGUCAUUGCAUUGGUGGAGAAUAGUUUAUCACUUUUACCUUUGGUCAAGUGCACGUCUCUCAUGUAUCACUUCCUGCUUCACUUUUUUGUACUGCAUUGUACCUAUGUUCAUAUAAUCCAACUGCCAUGGCUGACGUGAGAUGUCAAGAAAAAUCUAGCGGUGAAGCAAACAAUUCUGCUUUGGCUGGAUCUUUUGUGCUCUCUGCAGUACCAAUGAACUAUGCUCGUUUACAAAUUGAAGAUGAAUACUGAUUGUGCUUCAACGGCAGAGUUUCAAACCCUUUGGGAGAUGAGCUAGGCACCCGAUUUCUGUGGUAUUGGUGCUCAAGUUCUCAUGCCAUGUCAUUCCUUAUAAGGGCUUCGCUAGCAAAUUUGAGAUGUUAACUACUAUAAACGUCCGUUCUGAUCUAUGUGUAACUCUGUCUGAAUGUACCCCGAGUAUCAAUUUUGUUACUGAACCGUGCUGCUUUACUGAUAUAUGCUUUCGGUA